rnacentral:misc_RNA from 1 species
AUCACAUUUUAGCCCGCAGAAAUUUUCGUUCAAUACAACUACUUCGCUCGCACAUAUACUAAAUUAUGCUAUAUUCACAAAUUUCGAAAGAGCAACCAUCUUCUUUCAAGCAAUAAUAUCAACUUUGCUUUCAAAUGGCAAACUAAAAAUUACCCUGAAAGCAUGUGAGAAUGACAAAUACGACCCAGUGCCAACAAUAAUGUAGCGUAUACCAUUUUCUUUUAGCCAAAGUGUAACCAACAGGCAAAGAAUUUGACCGCAACCAGCGACCAGCUGAAGGCAGUCACCAACCUGAGUUGAAAUGAAAAUUCAGUUUGUUUCCAGUCGUCGUCUUGUCAAUAUUGAGCUAAGAAAAACUUUAAAUUUCGAAGACACGUGUGGUCGAGCGCAAGCGAGUGAGGAAAACUCUUAAAAAGUCAACAACUCGUCACUGGUGAAUGCAAUCGUUUAUUGCAAUCAGCUUGACAUUUCGCAUUACACAAACAAUGAUAUGUCAUUGGUGUUUUCUUUGUGCGUAGAAAAUCGAUUUAAUUUGUGAAAACUUGUAGCGAAACAGCAAGAAAUUUUUUUUUCUGAAUAAUUAGUGCAAUUGUGUAUGAAUUCGACUUCGAGUGCCGUGUAUGCUUACAGAUUACAUUUUGGGCGAAAAUUUCCUUUUAUUACAUUGUAGCGAGUGAGAUAAACACUAUUUGUGGAUUAUACGCGGUACAUUUGGAUAUAUUUACGCACCGUUCGCACAUCGAUUUGUGGCGCCCAAAACGUUAUGAAGCGCGCCCGACGAAUAAUGUGGUAGAAAGAAACGGUCAGUGACAAAUGAAAAGCACUCUCCUGCAAUGUGAUACUCUUCAUGGAUUUAAUGCCAAAAGUUUUUUUAAUGGAUAUGAGUUUAAUGUAUGCAAAUUGUUCGAGAUUUUCGCCUAAAGUGUUACUACGAAUAUCUACAUACGAGUAUAUCGCGUAGAGAAGGGAACGUCUUGGAGGAGCGAACGAAAAGACUCGGAUGCUAAUUGUGUGAGACCAUCCAAGUACUGGCAAUUUACUCAACUAACUACAACAACAACAACAUAAACAACUAGAAGAGCAACAACUUCGAACAAAGCAAAGUGAAUUUGCAAAUUAAAUCUAAGCGCAUAAGUAUGCAAUGAAAUGAAAAGUGAGUGGUAGAGGAAACACAACUAGAGGAAGAGGAGGAAAAAAUAUCGUCUGAAAGUGAAAAGGAAAAAAAGAAAGAAUUGGACGUCAUGGAAACGCGCAGUAAGGACGCUUGCCGUACUGCGGCUGCCGACUCCACAACAGCAAUUAGUGCGCUCAACAGUGAGAAUUGUAGUGUAGACUCGACUACAACGCAACAACAACCAAGCGUUGUUCAUUCAACAACAGCGCCACAGCAACAACAGGUGAGCAGCAGCACAAGCAGCGCGCCGAAAACGAGCUCACCAACGCCACCUAGUAGCAACAACAACAAUAACAAUAAUGCAACCAAUAAGACAAAGUCACAACAGCAGCAACAACAACAGCAAUAUCAUCAAUUUCGUGCGCCACAACAAUUUGUGCGGCAUCGACGCGCCACCGCUCCCGCAGCGUUGCUCAAUAAGAAGGGCAAAACAUGGAAUAAACGACAGCAGCGUGGUGCAAAACUGCAACAACAACAACAACAACAACAACAACAACAACUACAACUACAGCAACAUCAACAGCAACAACACAUGCUACAAGGUGGCGGCGGCAAUGUGGGUGCCGCUGGUGGUGGCGUCAGUGAUAUUAGUGGAACGCCAGCGUCUGCCACGACGGGGGCUACAACCAAAGCCGACCUUGAGAAUAUACAGAAUUUCAAGAAUCAACUUGGCGGCCAUCAUUACUAUCCGCAUGGUGGUGGUGGGGGCGGAGCACAUCGCGGUGUGGGCGGUGUAAAUCCAGCAGGUGGCGGCAACGUUGGGGGCGCAACAGGCGCUGGUGCAUCGAGCAAUGGCUUAGCACCGGCCGCAAUAGCCAACAUGGAAAAACUGGGUUACGGCCAUGGUCAUAUGAAAAUGUACAAAAAGUUGCUGGCGCAUAGGGGCGUUGGCGGACAUCAUCACCAUGUGCUUUGCGCUGGCGCGGCACAUAAUACUAUUGGUGGCAACUCUAACUCGAACUGUUGCCUCAUCAACGGCUGCAACGGGGGCCAUCCAAAUGGCAAGGAGCCCUCAAACGGCAGCACAAACAGUUCACAGUCUGGCAAUGUCGCUAGCUCGCUGCACUACUGCUGCGCACGUUCAAAAUUCUUUUUGCCCGAUAAGCGGGUGCGUAAAGAGACCAUCAUACCACCAACUAAGUUCUUGCUCGGCGGAAACAUCUCCGAUCCGCUCAACUUGAACUCGCUACAGAAUGAAAAUUCGAAUGCCUCAUCGAACAAUAAUACGCCGGCAACCACACCGCGCCAGUCACCCAUCACUACGCCACCCAAAGUGGAGGUGAUCAUACCGCCGAAUAUACGUGAUCCCUUGCAUCUGCUUGAUCCUGUCGAUUCGAUGGAGUAUGAAAAGCAGCUAACAUCACCGAUGAAGCGUGGCGGCGCACGUGGCGGACACGCCCAUCAUCACAGCGCCAAGCAUCGUCAUCGCAAAAAUCGUAAGAGCAAGCGACGUCGUCACGACUCCUACCAGUCGUCUGUGGGUAGCGCAUCCAUUGGCGACGCUGACACAACCGCUCUGGCCAACAGCACAAUGUCUACUGAGACGGUCAGUGUUAGCAGCUUAGUUUCCCUUUCGUUAGCCACAACUCUCGCCACUGUCUCCACGCUGGAGAGUAGCGUCAAUUUGAGUUUACCGUCGACCGGGGAUGGCAUGAACAAUAAUGUUAACAUUCUGAGCAAAAGCACACCAAUGGUGGUAAGCACAUGUGAGACAAUGCCAGCUGAGUACAGACAACAGCUGGAAGAGCGCGAAGAGCACGAAACUUUGAAUACCGGCGCAGCAAUGCUCAGUAAUGUAAGCGCAGUGGAGGAACGUUUUGAGCGACGGAACAGCAAAAGCUCAUCGCCAGUAAAACAGAGUGCCAACUUAACACUCUCUGGAACCACCUCGUCGUUGGGCGUGAGUGAGACUGGAGAGCCAUUGUUGACACCAAGUGCUGCUAUAACAAAGGUCGCUACGGACGGAGCGGUUGCUGGUGGAGGUGAUGUUGUGCUUGGUGGCGCUGGUGUUGGUGCUUUGUUGUUGCCGCGAGAACGCGCCACGCGAGAUUUACGUUUGGAAUUGAACUCGACAACAGUGUUGUCCUCCUCGUCGUUGAGUGGCAGCACGUGCAGCAGCAUAAUGGCCGGACUGAGCGCCGGUGGCAUGGGCAUAGGUGGCGGAAGGAAGCGCAAGAUAAGCGAGAGCAAUAACUCGCAGAAAAAUAAGAAAUUCCAUCGGGAUGCUAUGGAUAAGAUCGUCAGCCCGGUAGUACCACAACCCGGUGCCUGGAAGCGACCACCACGCCUCGCGGCCACAGGAGCACGUAAACCAACACGUCGUUCUACUUCAAUCAGCGAGACGGAUAUACUCAGUCCAGCAGAUGAAGCUGCCAGGCCGCUAUCUAGCGAUGCCGAUUUGUUACGCGUUGAUACACCCGAUUUCAGUAAGCUCGAGACAAUCUCCGAAGCCGGACUCGCCAGUCCACUCAGCACCACAUCGGGCGCCACCUCAGUCGCCGCUGGGGAACAAGAAUCGCUGAUGGAUACAAGCGCUGGUGAUAAUUCCACCACAAUGCCGGCCGAAGAGACACAAACAUCACUCAGUAUUACGGCAAAAAGCAGUGCAAAUGUCUCCAUAAGCUCCAACGUUGCCAUAGCACAGCUCACAAAAAUGCCACAUUUCCGUGCUGACGGUGUAAAGUAUCAAUAUGGCAAUUAUGACCGCUAUGUAGGCUUGCGUCAUCUCAACGAGUUGGUGGAUGUACGCCUGCAAGUGUUUCAGCGUCACCUUGAGCUCUUUCAAAAUAAAGAUAUACUUGAUAUUGGUUGCAAUGUGGGGCAUAUGACAAUCACCGUGGCGCGAAACUUUGCGCCUAAAUCCAUAUUGGGUAUUGACAUUGAUAGGAAAUUGGUGGCACGCGCGCGGCACAAUCUCGGUCUAUAUGUGCUCAUACCACCACAAGGAAAACCGGCGAAACCAAGAGACGUCGCAUCCACAAUCGUUGAAAAGGAAGAGAAACCCAAAGUGGUGGUCAAGGAAGAGAGCGGCGCUGCAAGCGGCAGCACUGAAGGUAAGAUAAAGAGCGAAACUGCCGACGCAAACAAUACUGCCAAAGUGGCGAGCUGCAAAGCAAACAGCCACGCAACAGAAGCGAGCGCUAAUAGAACAAAAAAGACGCGUCGCCACAAAAAGUCAAAACAUGGAUUACAGCAGCAGCAACAACAACAACAUGCGCAUCAUCAACAGCAGCAGCAGCAUCAGCCACAGCUGCAGCAUCACCACCACCACCACCAUCACCAUCACAUGCAUCACCACCAUCAUCACAGCCACUAUCAACAACAACAACUACAAGCAUUGCAUGUACCUGCUACUGAUUUAUUUCCCGUGUCAUUUCCACUGACAUACGGUGGCAUACCAACAGCAGCUGCACCCAGCGCCUCAGUCGCCGCCUCUACCACUACCGCCGCCACCAACACAGCAGAUAGUCAUUCAGUCAGUGAGUCAACAAACACGCCCGGUCAUGCGAGUAAUAACACACCAGCAAGCAGUGGCGGCGCUGCAGUGGCAAAUCGCAAGCGUAAAAACGAUUUUCCGCGGAACGUAUUUUUCCGUCAUCAGAAUUAUGUGCUCGAGGAUGAGGCGCAGCUGGCGAAUGACACGCAGCAAUAUGAUCUCAUACUGUGCUUGUCGGUGACAAAGUGGAUACACUUGAAUUUCGGCGAUGCCGGACUGAAGAUGGCCUUUAAGCGUAUGUUCAAUCAACUGCGGCCCGGUGGAAAGCUAAUAUUGGAGGCACAAAAUUGGGCGAGCUACAAGAAAAAGAAGAAUUUAACGCCCGAAAUCUACAACAACUACCGCAACAUUGAAUUCUUUCCCAAUAAAUUUCAUGAGUAUCUACUCAGCUCAGAGGUUGGUUUCAGUCACAGCUACACCUUGGGCGUGCCGCGGCACUUGAGCAAAGGCUUUUGUCGUCCCAUACAGUUGUACGCCAAAGGCGACUACACCCCCAACCAUGUGCGCUGGAGUGACGCUUACUAUCCACAAACCCCCUUUGAAGCUUAUCGCGGCAUAUACGCAACAAUGCCACCACGACCAGCAGGUCUGGCAUCGUAUGCUAUGUCAUCGACACGCAGCCAGGCAUAUGACACACCACACUACACAGGCGGCACCUCUGGCCCAUAUAGUUGCCGUCAAACGCCCAUGUAUCAACCCAUCUAUAAUCCACUAGAGACCGAUUCGUAUUUACCCUCAUACGAUAUGGAAUAUCUCAACCAUAUGUAUGUCUUUGCCUCACCUCUCUAUCAGACCGUCUGGUCACCACCCGCCAGCUUGCGUAAUAGCUCCUCACAUACACCUGUCUUCGGCAGUGUACGCGAGGCUGAGUUGGAUGGUGAUGGUGGUGGUAGUGGAGGCGGUGGCAGUUACCACCGUCACGUUUAUCCACCCAACGAGGAUACCUCAUCGCCAAAUGCGAAUACGGGUGGCGCAUUCAGUUCGAUACGCGAUGCGGAUACAGAUGAUUCGAAUCAAUUGCCUGCUGGCCGUAUGCAGCAUGUCUAUGCGACCAAUUGUGGUGAGAGUUCAUCAUCGCCGCAGGUGCAACACAACAAUGAUUCGGAUGCACUGGUGGAAGAGUGUUUGUCUUUAGACGAUGAGCAACCAGUGUCGGGGCAGAGCCAGGGCCAUGUGGUGGCUGCAGCUGCAGGUGGUAGUGCGUAUGUCGUGGGCAUGAGCAACGGCGAAUUGCCUGUGGCAGCAGGUAGUGGUGCUACUGGACAGGAAGGCAGUCAGCAUUACUGUGAUUUAAAUGAUGCUUAAGUUUUAAAUUUGAAUAGUUUUCGAUUAACAAUAAUUUCAAUUAAUUUUCGCGAAUUUUGGGAGAAAAAUGUGGCGCAAAUGUGUAAUUGUCGAUUAAGUAAAUGCAGCGCAAAAUAUUUACAUAUGUACAAGCAAGUAGAAGUAUACAAUAUGUAGUUGGCAGCAUGUGUAAGCCUAAAGCGAAUGCUUCAAAGACGCUUAUGAGUAGCAUAAGUAUAUACAUACAAAUUUUACUUAGUAUCCACAUACAUACGUAGUACAUAAUGCAGCAGUUAUUGAAGAAGGAAACAACAAAUUAACAGAAAACCUUUUAACUAAUCGAAUUUGAAAUGUGUACAUUAAUUGCAUUAAAAAGACCAUUUUGCAUGCAAAAACCCAUUUGCUAAGCUCCAUCAUCGCAACGCAUGCGCGCGUACUGCUUGAAGGUAACAAAAUCAACUUAUGCGAAAAGUAACAAAAACAAGGAAAUAUUAAGCUUAACAUACAUAAUUAAAAUUAACAGAAUAUCUAAUAAA